AAAGUGUUACGCCGGGCGAUGGUAGCCCCGGUUGUAAAGGACACAAUUGAGUGGAAGGUAACAUGGAUGGAGACAAGAAAAGCUGUGUGUAUCUGGAAGGAGCCCGUACCGCAAACCGACACAGGUAGAUAGGAAGAAGAUUCUAAGGCCAGCGGGAGAAGGGUUGUUAAGGAACUCGGCAAGUUGACCCCGUAACUUCGGGAGAAGGGGUGCUUACGAAGGUAAGCCGCAGAGAAUAGGCCCAAGCGACUGUUUAGCAAAAACACAGCUCUAUGCUAAAUCGAAAGAUGACGUAUAUGGGGUGACACCUGCCCGGAGCUGGAAGGUUAAGAGGAGAUGUGAGAGCAUUGAAUUGAAGCCCCAGUAAACGGCGGCCGUAACAAUAACGGUCCUAAGGUAGCGAAAUUCCUUGUCAGGUAAGUUCUGACCCGCACGAAUGGUGUAACGAUUUGGGCACUGUCUCAACAACCUACCCGGCGAAAUUGUAGUACCGGUGAAGAUGCCGGUUACCCGCGACUAGACGGAAAGACCCCAUGGAGCUUCACUGUAGCUUAAUAUUGAAUUUUGGUAUUUCAUGUACAGGAUAGGUGGGAGACUGGGAAAUACAGGCGUCAGCUUGUAUGGAGUCACUGUUGGGAUACCACUCUUGAGGUGCUGAAAUUCUAACCUGCGUCUUUGAAUCAAGACGGGGGACAUUGUUAGGUGGGCAGUUUGACUGGGGCGGUCGCCUCCAAAAGAGUAACGGAGGCGCUCAAAGGUUCGCUCAGCAUGGACGGAAACCAUGCCAAAGAGUGCAAACGCAAAAGCGAGCCUAACUGCGAGACUGACGGGUCGAGCAGUAACGAAGGUUGGAGUUAGUGAUCCGGCGGUAUGUGAGUGGAAAUGCCGUCGCUCAACGGAUAAAAGCUACCCUGGGGAUAACAGGCUGAUCUCCCCCAAGAGUCCACAUCGACGGGGAGGUUUGGCACCUCGAUGUCGGCUCAUCGCAUCCUGGGGCUGAAUUCGGUCCCAAGGGUUUGGCUGUUCGCCAAUUAAAGCGGUACGCGAGCUGGGUUCAGAACGUCGUGAGACAGUUCGGUCCCUAUCUGUCGUGGGCGUAGGAUAUUUGAAAGGAGCUGUCCCUAGUACGAGAGGACCGGGAUGGACGCACCUCUGGUGAACCAGUUGUCACGCCAGUGGCACGGCUGGGCAGCUAAGUGCGGAACGGAUAAACGCUGAAAGCAUCUAAGCGUGAAGCCGACCUUAAGAUAAGAUAUCCGUUCUUCGGAAUAAGACCCCUUGUAGACUACGAGGUUGAUAGGCUUAAAGUGUAAGCAUGGUGACAUGUUUAGCUUGCAAGUACUAAUCGGUCGAUUGCUUUU
rnacentral:rRNA from 1 species